rnacentral:misc_RNA from 1 species
UUUCCGUAGGUGAACCUGCGGAAGGAUCAUUAUUGUAUAACCGAGGUACGAGGGCUGUCGCUGACCCGAAAGGUCGUGCACGCCCGAGUUCCCUCACACACAUCCAUCUCACCCCUUUGUGCACCUCCGCGUGGGUCCCCCUUUGGCUUGUUCGGAAGGGGGCUUACGUUUUCACACAAACUUUGUAUGCAGUGUAGAAUGUAUUUUUUGUUUUUGCGAUCACGCAAUCAAUACAACUUUCAACAACGGAUCUCUUGGCUCUC